UGGCCGGUGAUUGAUCGGACAAUUUUCAGGCGACUGUGCGUCGAUUUUCUUUUUUGGUCAGUUGGUUGGAAAAUUAAUGUUCAAACAGUCACAGUUUGAAGGGUAAAUUCGCUCUUUUAGUGUAAAAAAAUUUUUAAACUUAAUUUCUUUUUUUUUAAUUCAUUUAAUGGGUCAAAGGCCAAUAUCAAAAUUUGCUACAGUCCAAAGUCAAUUUUCGUAUAUUUCCUCCCGAAACACAUUUCCUCAAUAAAAAGAGUCUCAGACGCUCCUGCAAUUUAUUUCCCAACCCAACUCCUCAAUGCAAUUUUCUUUUAUAUGUCUCAUAUAGAGGGUUUCUUCCAUUUUGUCUCUAACACUUGAGCUAUUUCGGUUUGGAGGAAUGUCUUUUAUCUAUCUAUCCAUAUUUCGAAGUUCCUUCCAUUACCCAACAUGCAGCACGUUCUUUCUUAGUUAUGCUAAUGCUGAUUUGAGCACACUUUAAUUUUCAUUUCAUCCGAGAAAAGCAAUCUUUUUCUCAACAAUGUCUCCGUCAUUUGAUUGUGUCACAAUUGAGGAAAAGAAUGUAAUUGCCCCCAGGGCAUAUCUCCCAGUGGCAAAGGGGAGGACAGAUAGGGCUCAGCGCGACAGUGUGCAGAGUUCGAUUCCCCGCAAGGUGGAAUUGACUUUGUUGCAAGCGGGAGUUACCAUAUGGGUUAACAGCCUUGGCCUAUCCAUUUACUCUCCACCCUGGCUCCUGAGAGGCACAUCCUGCGAUUUACCUCCUUCACGAUAGCUCAGGACAGAGUCGGUGGGGGCCCUUAAGGUUGGGAUUCAACCUUUUAAGAAAAGAAUGUAAUUAUCCCUUCCACUUGAAGAAUUCACCGAGCGUUUGGUGUGCUAUUACAGAGAAAGGUUGUCAAAAAAAUCCCAUCUUUGAGAAGUGAAGUUUUACUGUUUUAGCAAACAUUUUAAACUUCCUAAGAUUCUACUUGGAAGGACAAAUGAUACCAGAUGCAAUAUCAGCAGAGAAAAUAUAAAAUAUUUUUUAAUUCUUCCAGCAGCUAAAACCAUUAUUCACAAAUCCUAAUUAUUGUAUCACAAAAACAGAAAGAAGUAGCUGAUUCAUUACCAUCGUAGAUCUGAUCAACGGGAAUCCUUCUCAUUUUUCCUUCAUCCCCAAUCAUCAUAAAUUAAAUUCAGUUAAAAAAAAUAAUAAUAAUAAUUAGCUAAUGAAAUGAAUUACAACAAAAUUAAAUCAAGGGAAGGAGGAAAAAUAAUGUAUCUACCUUGUCACCGAAAAACCCUAGCAAAGAGAGAGAUUUCGGAGCUAAAGGCAGACGCACAAAUAUACGAAUGAAUACAUACAUUUGUGCGUAAUUUGGUAUCGCCUAACGAUAGAUUCCCUGAUUCAUUUAUAUAAAUCAAAGAAUUGCAAUAUUAGGCAUCAUAUUCACAUCAUCUACAAUCAAUCAUCGAAUUGUUACUGUAAUUUAAAUAAAUAAAAAGAGAGAGAGAGAGAGAGAGAAAGGACAGAGAGAUUUCUAUGCACACAAACACAGAGCGAGAACAGAACAGAGGUAGAGUUCUGAGUUCACAUAUAUAGAUCGAGCAGCCGGAGAGGAGUAGAUUUUAGG
rnacentral:lncRNA from 1 species